rnacentral:rRNA from 1 species
AUUGAACGCUGGCGGCAUGCCUUACACAUGCAAGUCGAACGGUAACAGGUCUUCGGAUGCUGACGAGUGGCGAACGGGUGAGUAAUACAUCGGAACGUGCCUAGUAGUGGGGGAUAACUACUCGAAAGAGUGGCUAAUACCGCAUGAGAUCUACGGAUGAAAGCAGGGGAUCGCAAGACCUUGUGCUACUAGAGCGGCCGAUGGCAGAUUAGGUAGUGGGUGGGAUAAAAGCUUACCAAGCCGACGAUCUGUAGCUGGUCUGAGAGGACGAUCAGCCACACUGGGACUGAGAAACGGCCCAGACUCCUACGGGGGGCAGCAGUGGGGAAUUUUGGACAAUGGGCGCAAGCCUGAUCCAGCAAUGCCGCGUGCAGGAUGAAGGCCUUCGGGUUGUAAACUGCUUUUGUACGGAACGAAAAGCCCCGGGUUAAUACCCCGGGGUCAUGACGGUACCGUAAGAAUAAGCACCGGCUAACUACGUGCCAGCAGCCGCAGUAA